GGGGCCUGUGAUGAUUGAUCCUGGCAGACAGCCUGUGAAAGCCAUCUUCAGUUCAAAAAGCUCUGCGGUAAAAGCAGACACAGGUGACACAUCAUCUUCAUGCUGCAGAGACUAGGUUUGGGCCCAUAAAACACUGCACAAGCACAGAGGACGAGUCGAGUAGAAGGGCAGAGCUGGGUCAGAGGAGAGGUGGUUCUGUCAAUAAGUGGACUGCAGGUUUGAGAUAAGCACUUACGAGAUGACAUGGCCUUGGGAUUAAUCUCACUAUAAUGAGAUAGUGGCGGUCUGCUGUGUCACCGUGUGUUUGACACAGGUCAGAUCCUCCCAGGCAACAGAUGCCCAACCACAGAAGUGGAUUUUAUUUCCUAGUCCCAGACCAUUCCAGACCAUUUCAGUGACCCAGACAGCCAGACAAGAGGAUCAUAGCCCACACAAUCUGGCCAGCCAUAAUGAGUCACAAGGCUAAAAUUGAAAUCCCACCCAGAGCUACAACUGCCACAUCCCAACGUAAAGUCCACAUCACUAAACCAGAGCAGAGAUUAGCUUCUGUCAUGAGCAGAAGCAAGUAACUAUGUAACAAAUGAGUGACUAAACUGUGUAACUAACUGUAAUAAAUGUAACUAUGUAAUAAAAUUAGUAAAAUUA